GUUUUUAUAAUUUAAAUAUAAUAAAAUACUGGUCUUGUAAACCAAAAUUAAGAUUAAUAAAAUCUUUAAAAACA
rnacentral:tRNA from 1 species